UACGUAGGCAGCAAGCGUUGUUCGGAAUUACUGGGCGUAAAGAGUGUGUAGGCGGUGCUCUAAGUUCGGUGUGAAAUCUCCCGGCUCAACUGGGAGGGUGCGCCGGAAACUGGAAUGCUUGAGCGUGGGAGAGGAAAGCGGAAUUCCUGGUGUAGCGGUGAAAUGCGUAGAUAUCAGGAGGAACACCAGUGGCGAAGGCGAGUCUCUGGACAUUUCCUGACGCUGAGGCACGAAAGCCAGGGGAGCAAACGGG
rnacentral:rRNA from 1 species